rfam:Sus scrofa chromosome 3.
UCCCUGGUGGCCCAGUGGUUAAGGACUCAGCGUUGUCACUGCUAUGGCUCAAGUUUGAUCCCUGGCCGGGGAA